rnacentral:rRNA from 1 species
GACGAACGCUGGCGGCGUGCCUAAUACAUGCAAGUAGAACGCUGAAGGAGGAGCUUGCUCUUCUGGAUGAGUUGCGAACGGGUGAGUAACGCGUAGGUAACCUGCCUGGUAGCGGGGGAUAACUAUUGGAAACGAUAGCUAAUACCGCAUAACAUUGACUAUUGCAUGAUAGUCAAUUAAAAGGUGCAAAUGCACCACUACCAGAUGGACCUGCGUUGUAUUAGCUAGUUGGUGGGGUAACGGCUCACCAAGGCGACGAUACAUAGCCGACCUGAGAGGGGGAUCGGCCACACUGGGACUGAGACACGGCCCAGACUCCUACGGGAGGCAGCAGUAGGGAAUCUUCGGCAAUGGACGGAAGUCUGACCGAGCAACGCCGCGUGAGUGAAGAAGGUUUUCGGAUCGUAAAGCUCUGUUGUAAGAGAAGAACGAGUGUGAGAGUGGAAAGUUCACACUGUGACGGUAUCUUACCAGAAAGGGACGGCUAACUACGUG